UGCCCCGUCGUCUAAUGGUAGGACACGUGACUCUGGAUCACGGUAUCCUGGUUCGAGUCCAGGCGGGGCAG
rnacentral:tRNA from 1 species